rnacentral:lncRNA from 1 species
AGUCCUUCGCCGUCCCUCGCCGUCCUUCGCCAUCGCACGCCACCGCACCCCAUCUCUCGAAAUCUGCAGACAUCUUGAUUUUUCCCACGCUGUCUGUCAGGUCUCCGCCGCCACUCGACGCCAGGGCGCCGGGAGUGUCACAUGACUGCCGCCCCAUGUGUGUGAGAGGCGUCCUCUGGGAGAGCAUGGAUCCUGAGGUCCCAGGAUUGUCAGCUGACCUCUGUCCUGUGUGCCCAGUGGCCCCAGGUGACGUGUCUUCAAGAAGAGGCUGAGCUGCGGUGCUUGUAAGAUGGGUCUGCUGUGUGCAGAGGCUCCAUGGGAUGUGUUGUCUUCAUAGUAGCAGGGCGCUGGACCAUGGGUCCGCAAGGUCUCAGCCUUAGAUCCAAGGACAGUCCAAGGAAGUCCUAAGACCAUGGAGUUGGUGAUCUGGGAUCUGGGUUUGCUGAUAUUUCUCACCGUGAAUCUCUUGGUGGUGUUUGUGGGCACGAGAGGGGCAGAGAAUGGAGAGUGAGGCUACCACAUGAAGCGUCACCAGAGCUGCUCCCUGCUGCCUGCUCAGAGCACCCCGGAUCCACUGUUCAAUCUGCACAAGAUUCGGGGUCCAGACAUGGGAGACUUCAGCUGCCUCAGAGGACCGUGGACAGGGAAGGCCAGCCUCGCAUCCCUCUGUCCAUGCCUGGAAUGACUUUAAUAACCAAGAGUUUUAUUUUUGAAUUUGUAGCUGUCGUUCACUUUUUACCCACCCAUUCAAUAAACCUUACAGAAUUGCUCCA